AUGCUUAACACAUGCAAGUCGAACGCGAAAGGGGCUUCGGCCCUGAGUAGAGUGGCAAACGGGUGAGUAACGCGUGGGUGACCUGCCCUCGAGUGGGGGAUAACGUUCCGAAAGGAGCGCUAAUACCGCAUGACAUCCCGCCUUUGGAAAGGCGGCGAUCAAAGCUGGGGACCGCAAGGCCUGGCGCUUGAGGAGGGGCCCGCGUCCGAUUAGCUAGUUGGUAGGGUAAAAGCCUACCAAGGCGACGAUCGGUAGCCGGCCUGAGAGGGCGGACGGCCACACUGGGACUGAGACACGGCCCAGACUCCUACGGGAGGCAGCAGUGGGGAAUUGUUCGCAAUGGGCGCAAGCCUGACGACGCAACGCCGCGUGGAGGAUGAAGGUCUUCGGAUUGUAAACUCCUGUUGAUCGGGAAGAAUUCCUCUGGGGGGAAUAUCCCUGGAGGUUGACGGUACCGGUUGAGGAAGCCCCGGCUAACUCUGUGCCAGCAGCCGCGGUAAUACAGAGGGGGCAAGCGUUGUUCGGAAUUACUGGGCGUAAAGGGCGCGUAGGCGGCCGACCUCGUCAGACGUGAAAUCCCACGGCUCAACCGUGGAACUGCGUCUGAUACUAGUUGGCUUGAAUCCGGGAGAGGGAUGUGGAAUUCCAGGUGUAGCGGCGAAAUGCGUAGAUAUCGGAAGGAACACCAGUGG
rnacentral:rRNA from 1 species